AGAGUUUGAUCAUGGCUCAGGACGAACGCUGGCGGCGUGCCUAAUACAUGCAAGUCGAGCGGAAGUUUGAGAGCUUGCUCUCAAACUUUAGCGGCGGACGGGUGAGUAACACGUGGGCAACCUGCCCUGUAGACUGGGAUAACUUCGGGAAACCGAAGCUAAUACCGGAUAAUCUUUUUUGUCACCUGACAGAAAAGUAAAAGUUGGGUUUACCUAACACUACGGGAUGGGCCCGCGGCGCAUUAGCUAGUUGGUAAGGUAAUGGCUUACCAAGGCGACGAUGCGUAGCCGACCUGAGAGGGUGAUCGGCCACACUGGGACUGAGACACGGCCCAGACUCCUACGGGAGGCAGCAGUAGGGAAUCUUCCGCAAUGGACGAAAGUCUGACGGAGCAACGCCACGUGAACGAUGAAGGCCUUCGGGUCGUAAAGUUCUGUUGUUAGGGAAGAACAAGUACCGUUCAAAUAGGGCGGUACCUUGACGGUACCUAACCAGAAAGCCACGGCUAACUACGUGCCAGCAGCCGCGGUAAUACGUAGGUGGCAAGCGUUGUCCGGAAUUAUUGGGCGUAAAGCGCGCGCAGGCGGUCCUUUAAGUCUGAUGUGAAAUCUCGUGGCUCAACCACGAGCGGCCAUUGGAAACUGGGGGACUUGAGUACAGAAGAGGAGAGUGGAAUUCCAUGUGUAGCGGUGAAAUGCGUAGAUAUAUGGAGGAACACCAGUGGCGAAGGCGACUCUCUGGUCUGUAACUGACGCUGAGGCGCGAAAGCGUGGGGAGCAAACAGGAUUAGAUACCCUGGUAGUCCACGCCGUAAACGAUGAGUGCUAGGUGUUAGGGGUUUCGAUGCCCUUAGUGCCGAAGUUAACACAUUAAGCACUCCGUCUGGGGAGUACGACCGCAAGGUUGAAACUCAAGGAAUUGACGGGGGGCCCGCACUAGCAGUGGAGCAUGGUGGUUUAAUUCGAAGCAACG
rnacentral:rRNA from 1 species